rnacentral:rRNA from 1 species
CCUACGGGUGGCAGCAGUGGGGAAUAUUGGACAAUGGGGGGAACCCUGAUCCAGCCAUGCCGCGUGUGUGAAGAAGGCCCUCGGGUUGUAAAGCACUUUCAGUGAGGAAGAACGCCUGGUGGUUAAUACCCAUCAGGAAAGACAUCACUCACAGAAGAAGCACCGGCUAACUCCGUGCCAGCAGCCGCGGUAAUACGGAGGGUGCGAGCGUUAAUCGGAAUUACUGGGCGUAAAGCGCGCGUAGGUGGCUUGAUAAGCCGGUUGUGAAAGCCCCGGGCUCAACCUGGGAACGGCAUCCGGAACUGUCAAGCUAGAGUGCGGGAGAGGAAGGUAGAAUUCCCGGUGUAGCGGUGAAAUGCGUAGAGAUCGGGAGGAAUACCAGUGGCGAAGGCGGCCUUCUGGACUGACACUGACACUGAGGUGCGAAAGCGUGGGUAGCAAACAGGAUUAGAUACCCGUGUAGUC